AGAGUUCGAUCCUGGCUCAGGAUGAACGCUGGCGGCGCGCCUAACACAUGCAAGUCGAACGGUUAAGACGCCUUCGGGCGUGUAUAAAGUGGCGAACGGCUGAGUAACACGUGGGCAACCUGCCCCUCGCACCGGGACAGCCUCGGGAAACCGUGGUUAAUACCGGAUACUCCGCGCACCCCGCAUGGGGCGCGCGGGAAAGCCCAGACGGCGAGGGAUGGGCCCGCGGCCUGUUAGCUAGUUGGCGGGGCAACGGCCCACCAAGGCGAUGAUGGGUAGCCGGGUUGAGAGACCGACCGGCCAGAUUGGGACUGAGACACGGCCCAGACUCCUACGGGAGGCAGCAGUGGGGAAUCUUGCACAAUGGGCGAAAGCCUGAUGCAGCGACGCCGCGUGCGGGACGAAGGCCUUCGGGUUGUAAACCGCUUUCAGCAGGGACGAGGCGAAAGUGACGGUACCUGCAGAAGAAGCCCCGGCUAACUACGUGCCAGCAGCCGCGGUAAUACGUAGGGGGCGAGCGUUAUCCGGAUUCAUUGGGCGUAAAGCGCGCGUAGGCGGCCUGUUAGGUCGGGAGUUAAAUCCGGGGGCUCAACCCCCGUCCGCUCCCGAUACCGGCGGGCUUGAGUCUGGUAGGGGAAGGCGGAAUUCCCAGUGUAGCGGUGGAAUGCGCAGAUAUUGGGAAGAACACCGGUGGCGAAGGCGGCCUUCUGGGCCACGACUGACGCUGAGGCGCGAAAGCUAGGGGAGCGAACAGGAUUAGAUACCCUGGUAGUCCUAGCCGUAAACGAUGGACACUAGGUGUGGGGGGACGAUCCCUCCGUGCCGCAGCCAACGCAUUAAGUGUCCCGCCUGGGGAGUACGGCCGCAAGGCUAAAACUCAAAG
rnacentral:rRNA from 1 species